AUUGAACGCUGGCGGCAUGCUUUACACAUGCAAGUCGAACGGUAACAGGGUGCUUGCACCGCUGACGAGUGGCGAACGGGUGAGUAAUGCGUCGGAACGUGCCGAGUAGUGGGGGAUAACGCAGCGAAAGCUGUGCUAAUACCGCAUACGAACUGAGGUUGAAAGUGGGGGACCUUCGGGCCUCACGCUAUUCGAUCGGCCGACGUCUGAUUAGCUAGUUGGUAGGGUAAAGGCCUACCAAGGCGACGAUCAGUAGCGGGUCUGGGAGGAUGAUCCGCCACACUGGGACUGAGACACGGGCCAGACUCCUACGGGAGGGAGCAGUGGGGAAUUUUGGACAAUGGGGGAAACCCUGAUCCAGCCAUGCCGCGUGUCUGAAGAAGGCCUUCGGGUUGUAAAGGACUUUUGUCCGGGAGCAAAUACCCAGUGCUAAUAACGCUGGGGGCUGAGGGUACCGGAAGAAUAAGCACCGGCUAACUACGUGCCAGCAGCCGCCGUAACAC
rnacentral:rRNA from 1 species